rnacentral:rRNA from 1 species
CAGCCGCCACGGAAUACGAAGGGUGCAAGCGUUACUCGGAAUUACUGGGCGUAAAGCGUGCGUAGGUGGUGGUUUAAGUCCGUUGUGAAAGCCCUGGGCUCAACCUGGGAAUUGCAGUGGAUACUGGGUCACUAGAGUGUGGUAGAGGAUAGUGGAAUUUCCGGUGUAGCAGUGAAAUGCGUAGAGAUCGGAAGGAACAUCUGUGGCGAAGGCGACUAUCUGGGCCAACACUGACACUGAGGCACGAAAGCGUGGGGAGCAAACAGGAUUAGAUACCCGUGUAGUCCCUGUCUCUUAUACA